rnacentral:misc_RNA from 1 species
UUAAGUUCAGCGGGUAUUCCUACCUGAUCCGAGGUCAAACUUUCAGAAGUGGGGGGUUUAACGGCGUGGCCGCGCUGCGAUCCAGUGCGAGUGUUGCUACUACGCAGAGGAAGCUACAGCGAGACCGCCACUAGAUUUGAGGGGACGCGCGCCGCGGAGGGCACGCCGCAUCCCCAACACCAAGGCCCGGGGGCUUGAGG